rnacentral:lncRNA from 1 species
CGCACACACACACACACACACACACACACACACACACACACAUGUUUAAACCACCCUCGAGCCCAUCCAUCACUACUAGCAUCCCUGUCUUGUACCCAGCUUCCCAUGUGCUCUCCCACGGGAAGGGACAGUAAAAGCUUCAUUUGCAACUCUUGGCUUCCUGACCUUCAGUCCUCGGCUCUAGCGGGCCACGGGACCUCUGACCCCUAGCCAAGCUUCCCUGAUCCAUGAUGCAUGGCCAGCGUCUUCAGAGACGACUAGGAGUCUCUCCUAUGACCAGCCACAGCUUGUGACUCCCCUAUUUGGCAUGUAAUCUCUUACAGAAAUCUGGAGACUCUACUCAUUCUCUCUUAACUCCCACCUUUAACCUCUGAACCAUUUCGGAGACACUUCCUGGUAUCUGCUCUGGUUUU